AGUGUGGCUCAGUGGUGGAGCACUUGUCUAGAAUGUAAAAGGCUCUGGGCUCAAUUCCAAGCACU
rnacentral:tRNA from 1 species